rnacentral:rRNA from 1 species
AAGUCGUAACAAGGUUUCCGUAGGUGAACCUGCGGAAGGAUCAUUAUUGAAAUAAACCUGAUAAGUUGCUGCUGGUUCUCUAGGGAGCAUGGUGCACACUUGUCAUCUUUGUAUCUUCACCUGUGCACCUUUUGUAGGCCUGAGCAUCUCUCUGAAUGCUUUAUGUUUUUAGCAUUCAGGAUUGAGGAUUGACUUCAUGUCUUUUCUCACAUUUUCAGGUCUAUGUUUUUGUUCAUAUACUCCAAUGUAUGUUUAUAGAAUGUAAUUAAAUGGGUCUUUGUGCCUAUAUAAGCCUAUACAACUUUCAGCAACGGAUCUCUUGGCUCUCGCAUCGAUGAAGAACGCAGCGAAAUGCGAUAAGUAAUGUGAAUUGCAGAAUUCAGUGAAUCAUCGAAUCUUUGAACGCACCUUGCGCUCCUUGGUAUUCCGAGGAGCAUGCCUGUUUGAGUGUCAUUAAUAUAAUAUCAACCUUCUUUGGUUGGAUGUGGGUUUGCUGGACUCUAUCUAUAGGUCAGCUCCCCUUAAAUGCAUUAGCAGACAACAUUUUGCCAACUGUUUAUUGGUGUGAUAAUUAUCUACGCUAUUGACAUGUAGCAAAUGUUCAGCUUCUAACAGUCCAUUGACUUGGACAAAUUUAUUUUGUUAAUGUGACCUCAAAUCAGGUAGGACUACCCGCUGAACUUAA